UGGGGGAUAUUGCGCAAUGGGGGAAACCCUGACGCAGCAACGCCGCGUGAAGGAUGAAGGUUUUCGGAUUGUAAACUUCUUUUAUUUAGGACGAAGAAUGACGGUACUAAAUGAAUAAGCUCCGGCUAACUACGUGCCAGCAGCCGCGGUAAUACGUAGGGAGCAAGCGUUAUCCGGAUUUACUGGGUGUAAAGGGUGCGUAGGCGGCUUGGUAAGUCAGAUGUGAAAUGUAUGGGCUCAACCCAUGCACUGCAUUUGAAACUAUUGAGCUUGAGUGAAGUAGAGGUAGGCGGAAUUCCCUGUGUAGCGGUGAAAUGCGUAGAGAUAGGGAGGAACACCAGUGGCGAAGGCGGCCUACUGGGCUUUAACUGACGCUGAGGCACGAAAGCGUGGGUAGCAAACAGGAUUAGAUACCCUGGUAGUCCACGCUGUAAACGAUGAUUACUAGGUGUUGGAGGAUUGACCCCUUCAGUGCCGCAGUUAACACAAUAAGUAAUCCACCUGGGGAGUACGACCGCAAGGUUGAAACUCAAAGGAAUUGACGGGGGCCCGCACAAGCAGUGGAGUAUGUGGUUUAAUUCGACGCAACGCGAAGAACCUUACCAAGUCUUGACAUCCGUUGACCGCUGUAGAAAUACAGUUUUCCUUCGGGACAGCGAGACAGGUGGUGCAUGGUUGUCGUCAGCUCGUGUCGUGAGAUGUUGGGUUAAGUCCCGCAACGAGCGCAACCCUUAUGGUCAGUUACUACGCAAGAGGACUCUGGCCAGACUGCCGUUGACAAAACGGAGGAAGGUGGGGAUGACGUCAAAUCAUCAUGCCCUUUAUGACUUGGGCUACACACGUACUACAAUGGCGUUAAACAAAGAGAAGCAAGACCGCGAGGUGGAGCAAAACUCAGAAACAACGUCCCAGUUCGGACUGCAGGCUGCAACUCGCCUGCACGAAGUCGGAAUUGCUAGUAAUCGUGGAUCAGCAUGCCACGGUGAAUACGUUCCC
rnacentral:rRNA from 1 species